GCACUCGUAGCUCAAUUGGAUAGAGCAACGCACUCCUAACGCGUAGGUUGUAGGUUCAAUUCCUGCCGAGUGCG
rnacentral:tRNA from 1 species